rnacentral:misc_RNA from 1 species
GAUGAAGAACGUAGCGAAAUGCGAUACGUAAUGUGAAUUGCAGAAUUCAGUGAAUCAUCGAAUCUUUGAACGCAUAUUGCGCUCUCUGGUAUUCCGGAGAGCAUGCUUGUUUGAGUAUCAGUAAACACCUCAACUUCCAUAUCUUUUUUGAAAUGGGAGUUGGACUUGAGUGAUCCCAACGCUUUUCCUCACCGAAAAGUGGCGGGUUACUUGAAAUGCAGGUGCAGCUGGACUUUUCUCUGAGCUAUAAGCAUAUCUAUUUAGUCUGCCUAAAAAACAGAUUAUUACCUUUGCUGCAGCUAACAUAAAGGAGAUUAGUUCUUGUGCUGACUGAUGCAGGAUUCACAAAGACAGGCUUCGGCCGACUUUGUAAACUCGAUCUCAAAUCAAGUAAGACUACCCGCUGAACUUAAGCAUAUCAAUAAGCGG